GACAGAGGGUGCAAACGUUGUUCGGAUUUACUGGGCGUAAAGGGCGCGUAGGCGGCCCUCCUAGUCGCGUGUGAAAGCCCCGGGCUCAACCUGGGAAUUGCGCGCGAAACGGGGGGGCUUGAGUUCGGGAGAGGAGCGUGGAAUUCCCAGUGUAGAGGUGAAAUUCGUAGAUAUUGGGAAGAACACCAAUGGCGAAAGCAGCUCUCUGGGACGGUACUGACGCUGAGACGCGAAAGCGUGGGGAGCGAACAGG
rnacentral:rRNA from 1 species